ensembl:lncRNA novel transcript
GGGAGGCUCAACAUGGUGUUCCAGAAUGAACAGGUCAGGUGAGUGGAGUCUGCUGGAGAAAGCCAUGAAAUUUAGACUGAGGAGAGUGGACUUUUACCUUAUAGUCUAGAGUCUCCAAUGUGGAAGACAUAUAGCCUUAAUGGCAUGAUGAUUUCAGGCUCUCCAUUUAACAGUGGGCAUAACACAAAACCAGACAGUAAGAGAGUGACCUGUACUCAGUUCUCUUUAAAUCUUUGAGACUAGUUCAAGAAGAAAAUAUGAGGUGCGACCCAUCAUGGUUUCUGUAUGUGUUUUUCUAGCAAGACAAAUGCCGGGAACUGAUUGGCUUGUGUUUUAUCUCGCAUUGCCUUGGGAAAUGAGCCUACUGUGUGGUCUAAGAUACAGGAAAAGAAAUGAUGGGAAACCAGGAGAGAAGGGGAUGGAGAACUCACUUGGCUGGAUUUCAGGUGUCUGGCCCCUCCAGGAGCCCUUUAUGUUGAUUAUUUCAAGACAGGUUUGAAAGACAUAUUUCUAGAAUAUGAAUGAUAUCUCCAUUUCACAGCUAGAGACUAAGGCUUGAGAAUUUACAUGCCCACGAUCCUUCGGGGAUUAAACAAGGAAAAUGAGCCUGAUUCACCCUUCUCCAGAAUGUGUGUUAGUUGGCCAUGAGCAACCAUCCAUAAUGUAUUCUAUAAAUUGAGGAACCAGCU